rnacentral:rRNA from 1 species
GUAAUAUAUCGGAACGUACCCUAGAGUGGGGGAUAACGUAUCGAAAGUUACGCUAAUACCGCAUACGAUCUAAGGAUGAAAGUGGGGGAUCGCAAGACCUCAUGCUCGUGGAGCGGCCGAUAUCUGAUUAGCUAGUUGGUAGGGUAAAAGCCUACCAAGGCAUCGAUCAGUAGCUGGUCUGAGAGGACGACCAGCCACACUGGAACUGAGACACGGUCCAGACUCCUACGGGAGGCAGCAGUGGGGAAUUUUGGACAAUGGGCGAAAGCCUGAUCCAGCAAUGCCGCGUGAGUGAAGAAGGCCUUCGGGUUGUAAAGCUCUUUUGUCAGGGAAGAAACGGUGAAAGCUAAUAUCUUUUGCUAAUGACGGUACCUGAAGAAUAGGCACCGGCUAACUACGUGCCAGCAGCCGCGGUAAUACGUAGGGUGCAAGCGUUAACCGGAAUUACUGGGCGUAAAGCGUGCGCAGGCGGUUUUGUAAGUCUGAUGUGAAAUCCCCGGGCUCAACCUGGGAAUUGCAUUGGAGACUGCAAGGCUAGAAUCUGGCAGAGGGGGGUAGAAUUCCACGUGUAGCAGUGAAAUGCGUAGAUAUGUGGAGGAACACCGAUGGCGAAGGCAGCCCCCUGGGUCAAGAUUGACGCUCAUGCACGAAAGCGUGGGGAGCAAACAGGAUUAGAUACCCUGGUAGUCCACGCCCUAAACGAUGUCUACU